rnacentral:RNase_P_RNA from 1 species
CCGGCCGGACGGAUGGCCGCCGGCCCCUUUCGGGCCGGAGGAAAGUCCGGGCUCCACGGAAACGGGACGCCGGGUAACGCCCGGCGAGGGAGCCCGUCGGCGACGAUGGGCGAACCUCAGGGAAAGCGCCACAGAAAGCAGACCGCCCGGCCAGAUCGGGCCGGGCAAGGGUGAAAGGGUGCGGUAAGAGCGCACCUGGGCCUUCGGCAACGAAGGCUGCACGGCAAGCCCCGUCCGGAGCAAGACCGCAUAGGGACGGCGCGCUCCUCGCCGCAGGAGCCGGGCGCGUUUCCGGCCCGCCGCCGUCCGGGUUGGUCGCAUGAGGCGCAUGGCGACAUGCGUCCCAGAUGAAUGGCCAUCGCCCUGUGCUUCAGGGAACAGAACCCGGCUUACAGUCCGGCCGGCGCA